GACGAACGCUGGCGGCGUGCUUAACACAUGCAAGUCGAACGGAAAGGCCCUGCUUUUGUGGGGUGCUCGAGUGGCGAACGGGUGAGUAACACGUGAGUAACCUGCCCUUGACUUUGGGAUAACUUCAGGAAACUGGGGCUAAUACCGGAUAGGAGCUCCUGCUGCAUGGUGGGGGUUGGAAAGUUUCGGCGGUUGGGGAUGGACUCGCGGCUUAUCAGCUUGUUGGUGGGGUAGUGGCUUACCAAGGCUUUGACGGGUAGCCGGCCUGAGAGGGUGACCGGCCACAUUGGGACUGAGAUACGGCCCAGACUCCUACGGGAGGCAGCAGUGGGGAAUAUUGCACAAUGGGCGGAAGCCUGAUGCAGCAACGCCGCGUGCGGGAUGACGGCCUUCGGGUUGUAAACCGCUUUCGCCUGUGACGAAGCGUGAGUGACGGUAAUGGGUAAAGAAGCACCGGCUAACUACGUGCCAGCAGCCGCGGUGAUACGUAGGGUGCGAGCGUUGUCCGGAUUUAUUGGGCGUAAAGGGCUCGUAGGUGGUUGAUCGCGUCGGAAGUGUAAUCUUGGGGCUUAACCCUGAGCGUGCUUUCGAUACGGGUUGACUUGAGGAAGGUAGGGGAGAAUGGAAUUCCUGGUGGAGCGGUGGAAUGCGCAGAUAUCAGGAGGAACACCAGUGGCGAAGGCGGUUCUCUGGGCCUUUCCUGACGCUGAGGAGCGAAAGCGUGGGGAGCGAACAGGCUUAGAUACCCUGGUAGUCCACGCUGUAAACGGUGGGUACUAGGUGUGGGGUCCAUUCCACGGGUUCCGUGCCGUAGCUAACGCUUUAAGUACCCCGCCUGGGGAGUACGGCCGCAAGGCUAAAACUCAAAGGAAUUGACGGGGCCCCGCACAAGCGGCGGAGCAUGCGGAUUAAUUCGAUGCAACGCGUAGAACCUUACCUGGGUUUGACAUGGAUCGGGAGUGCUCAGAGAUGGGUGUGCCUCUUUUGGGGUCGGUUCACAGGUGGUGCAUGCCUGUCGUCAGCUCGUGUCGUGAGAUGUUGGGUUAAGUCCCGCAACGAGCGCAACCCUUGUUCACUGUUGCCAGCACGUUAUGGUGGGGACUCAAUGGAGACCGCCGGGGUCAACUCGGAGGAAGGUGGGGAUGACGUCAAGUCAUCAUGCCCCUUAUGUCCAGGGCUUCACGCAUGCUACAAUGGCUGGUACAGAGAGUGGCGAGCCUGUGAGGGUGAGCGAAUCUCGGAAAGCCGGUCUCAGUUCGGAUUGGGGUCUGCAACUCGACCUCAUGAAGUCGGAGUCGCUAGUAAUCGCAGAUCAGCAACGCUGCGGUGAAUACGUUCCCGGG
rnacentral:rRNA from 1 species